GAGAAAAUAACACGUGGGUAACCCACCCUUGAGACCGGGAUACCCUCUUUACAGGGAGGCUAAUACUGGAUACGUUCCCCGGGACGCAAGAUCUGGGGAGGAAAGGUGGCGAAAGCUGCCGCUCUUGGAGGGGCUCGCGGCCUAUCAGCUAGUUGGUGAGGUAACGGCUCACCAAGGCUAUGACGGGUAGCUGGUCUGAGAGGACGACCAGCCACACGGGAACUGAGACACGGUCCCGACUCCUACGGGAGGCAGCAGUGGG
rnacentral:rRNA from 1 species